CACUGAUAAAGGCAAACUAGCAGCAAUGCUGGGGCGCAAAACCUCCGGCCCAGUAAGACCGGGUAGCGGGGUUGCCAAA
rfam:Omnitrophica WOR_2 bacterium SM23_72 WORSMTZ_5772, whole genome shotgun sequence.